GACCCGUCUUGAAACACGGACCAAGAAGUCUAUCUUGCACGCAAGCCAAUGGGACCGAUACCACCGGUGUGUGGUGUCGCUCAAUCGAACACCCAUAGGCGAAGACAACUCGAUGACGUUCGUCACGGGAUUACGGGUUCGGCAUGGCGCAAGCCUUCGUCGGAUCCCUCCAUCCCAGGGUGCCCCGAUACGGGUGGGAGCGGGCCUCCGGGCGUCGUUCUACCCAGCGGGCAUACCCCGAGUGUGCAGGAUGCGACCCGAAAGAUGGUGAACUAUGCCUGAUCAGGUUGAAGUCAGGGGAAACCCUGAUGGAGGACCGAAGCAAUUCUGACGUGCAAAUCGAUUGUCAGAGUUGGGCAUAGGGGCGAAAGACCAAUCGAACCAUCUAGUAGCUGGUUCCUU
rnacentral:rRNA from 1 species